rnacentral:rRNA from 1 species
GCAUCGGAAACUGGGAAACUUGAGUGCAGAAGAGGACAGUGGAACUCCAUGUGUAGCGGUGAAAUGCGUAGAUAUAUGGAAGAACACCAGUGGCGAAGGCGGCUGUCUGGUCUGUAACUGACGCUGAGGCUCGAAAGUAUGGGUAGCAAACAGGAUUAGAUACCCUGGUAGUCCAUACCGUAAACGAUGAAUGCUAAGUGUUGGAGGGUUUCCGCCCUUCAGUGCUGCAGCUAACGCAUUAAGCAUUCCGCCUGGGGAGUACGGCCGCAAGGCUGAAACUCAAAGGAAUUGACGGGGGCCCGCACAAGCGGUGGAGCAUGUGGUUUAAUUCGAAGCUACGCGAAGAACCUUACCAGGUCUUGACAUACUAUGCAAAUCUAAGAGAUUAGACGUUCCCUUCGGGGACAUGGAUACAGGUGGUGCAUGGUUGUCGUCAGCUCGUGUCGUGAGAUGUUGGGUUAAGUCCCGCAACGAGCGCAACCCUUAUUAUCAGUUGCCAGCAUUAAGUUGGGCACUCUGGUGAGACUGCCGGUGACAAACCGGAGGAAGGUGGGGAUGACGUCAAAUCAUCAUGCCCCUUAUGACCUGGGCUACACACGUGCUACAAUGGAUGGUACAACGAGUUGCGAACUCGCGAGAGUAAGCUAAUCUCUUAAAGCCAUUCUCAGUUCGGAUUGUAGGCUGCAACUCGCCUACAUGAAGUCGGAAUCGCUAGUAAUCGCGGAUCAGCAUGCCGCGGUGAAUACGUUCCCGGGCCUUGUACACACCGCCCGUCACACCAUGAGAGUUUGUAACACCCAAAGUCGGUGGGGUAACCUUUUAGGAACCAGCCGCCUAAGGUGGGACAGAUGAUUAGGGUGAAGUCGUAACAAGGUAGCCGUAGGAGAACCUGCGGCUGGAUCACCUCCAAUCGGAUCCCGGGC